UACGGAGGGUGCAAGCGGUAUCCGGAUUCACUGGGCUUAAAGGGAGCGUAGGCGGAAUAAUAAGUCAGUGGUGAAAGCCCCGGGCUCAACUUGGGAAUUGCCAUUGAUACUGUUAUUCUUGAGUUCGGUUGAGGUAGGCGGAAUGUUGGAUGUAGCGGUGAAAUGCUUAGAUAUGCAGCAGAACACCGAUUGCGAAGGCGGCUUACCAAGCCGACACUGACGCUGAGGCUCGAAAGCGUGGGGAUCAAACAGG
rnacentral:rRNA from 1 species